ACCGGCGGCUCGAGUGGUAACCGUUAUUAUUGGGUCUAAAGGGGCUGUAGCCGGCCGGAUAAGUCUCUUGAGAAAUCUGGCAGCUUAACUGUCAGGCUUUCAGGAGAUACUGUCUGGCUCGAGGCCGGGAGAGGUGAGAGGUACUUCAGGGGUAGGGGUGAAAUGUUGUAAUCCUUGUAGGCCCACCAGUUUGUGAGGCGUCUCACCAGAACGGACCUGACGGCAAGGGACGAAAGCUAGGGGCACGAACCG
rnacentral:rRNA from 1 species